GUUUUUGUUUUUUACUCAAAACGAACGUCAGUAUUGGAAUCAGCAUGUAAAAAUUAGUAGGGAGGGUCCUAUCUAAAUUUUGCUAAAGAGGCAGAUGCUGACAUGGCAAUGACGUGUUGCUAAGUUGGCUGUUGGUGUCAAUGAUGUCAGGUGACAUGUCGAUGACAUCAGUAGUGCAGGGGCCAAAAUUGUGUGUUUAGGAGUAGGAGAGGGAAUGGGAGCUUGCUUGUGUUUGACCUGACCUAGUUGAAAGUCACCAUCGGGAUGUCUUCCCAAAGGGGUAAGGUCAUCACUCAUCAGCAUGUAGCGAGUCUAUAGGAAGUGUCGUGGCAUCAAAAUUGGAUUCAAAUCAAAUCCAACUUGUCGAGUUCUCAAGUUUUAGGUAGCUUCUGAUUGUUGGAGUUGUGCCAUUGGAGUUGCCUUCGGCCAAGGAGAAGGUUAGUGAAGGCGGUGCAGCAAUCUGUUGAUGGGAGAUUGGUGGGUGUUGAUGGAGGGAAUGGCGACAACUCUGUGGGAAAUUUUCAAAGAAGAUAAAACAUAGUUUGGAUUUUUAGGGCUUUGAUACCUAAUUGAUGUAGAAG
rnacentral:misc_RNA from 1 species